rnacentral:rRNA from 1 species
GGUGAGAAGAGAAUUCUAAGGCGCGCGGAAGAACUCUCGUUAAGGAACUCGGCAAAAUGACCUCGUAACUUCGGGAGAAGAGGUGCCUCGGUAGGGUGAAUAGCCCGAGGGGGCCGCAGUGAAAAGGCCCAAGCGACUGUUUAGCAAAAACACAGGUCUGUGCGAAGCCGCAAGGCGAAGUAUACGGGCUGACGCCUGCCCGGUGCUGGAAGGUUAAGAGGAGUGGUUAGGGGCAACCCGAAGCUAUGAAUUGAAGCCCCAGUGAACGGCGGCCGUAACCAUAACGGUCCUAAGGUAGCGAAAUUCCUUGUCAGGUAAAUUCUGACCCGCACGAAUGGCGUAACGACUUGGGCGCUGUCUCAACGAGAGAUCCGGUGAAAUUUUAAUACCUGUGAAGAUGCAGGUUACCCGCGACAAGACGGAAAGACCCCAUGGAGCUUUACUGCAGCUUGAUAUUGGACUUUGGUACGAUCUGUACAGGAUAGGUGGGAGCCUUUGAAGCCUGAGCGCCAGCUUGGGUGGAGGCAUCGUUGGGAUACCACCCUGAUCGUAUCGGAGUUCUAACCUAGUACCGUGAUCCGGUAUGGGGACAGUGUCAGGUGGGCAGUUUGACUGGGGCGGUCGCCUCCUAAAAUGUAACGGAGGCGUUUAAAGGUUCCCUCAGAAUGGUUGGAAAUCAUUCGCAGAGUGCAAAGGCAUAAGGGAGCUUGACUGCGAGACCUACAAGUCGAGCAGGGACGAAAGUCGGACUUAGUGAUCCGGUGGUACCGAAUGGAAGGGCCAUCGCUCAACGGAUAAAAGCUACCCUGGGAUAACAGGCUUAUCUCCCCCAAGAGUCCACAUCGACGGGGAGGUUUGGCACCUCGAUGUCGGCUCAUCGCAUCCUGGGGCUGAAGUAGGUCCCAAGGGUUGGGCUGUUCGCCCAUUAAAGCGGUACGCGAGCUGGGUUCAGAACGUCGUGAGACAGUUCGGUCCCUAUCUGUCGCGGGCGUAGGAAAUUUGAGAGGAGCUGUCCUUAGUACGAGAGGACCGGGAUGGACGUACCGCUGGUGUACCAGUUGUCUCGCCAGAGGCAUCGCUGGGUAGCUAUGUACGGAGGGGAUAAGCGCUGAAAGCAUCUAAGCGCGAAGCCCCCCUCAAGAUGAGAUUUCCCAGUAUGUAAGACCCCUUGUAGACGACGAGGUUGGUAGGUUCGAGGUGGAAGUGCGGCAACGUAUGCAGCUGACGAAUACUAAUCGGUCGAGGGCUUAACC